rnacentral:tRNA from 1 species
GGAAGAGUGACUGAGUGGUUUAAGGUACUGGUUUCGAAAACCAGCGUGCGGGAAACUGCACCGUGGGUUCAAAUCCCACCUCUUCCG